GGCUUUACCUCCCUGAUCAAUUCAGCAUGGCCCAGCUGGGCCCAUCUGAACAUCCCCAGGGAGGCAGCUGCAGAGGCCUGGGGGAGAUGUUCCUGGGCCCUGCCAGUGCUGAUGCCAGGGGGGUGGAAGAAGAGCAGACAUAUGAAAAGCCAGCAGAACGAGUCUGUACUUUCCCCCCAGUUGCACCUGGACUGGCCAGUGUGAUUUGUAACCUCGUCCGUGCAGGGUGAAAAGAGCUGGCUGGGCUUUGGCCUGUGGGCUUCCUUCCUGGGCAGCCCCUAGAGGCAGCAGUGCACCCUGCUGCCACCCUCAGGCAAGGCAGGCCCCCGCUCUCCACUCAGAGGAUCAUGGCGGCCCUGGAGUGGGGCCGGAGGAGCUGAGGGUCUGAGGUGGGCACAGGGGAUCCCGUGCCAGGCUACUGCAAGCGUCUCUGCUGCUGCUGAGGGGGGUCCCAACUCCCAGGGGAGCCUGCUGUGCCCUCCAAGCCUUCUCAACACAGUGUCCAUCACGUUCAGGCCUGGGCUGUGCCCACAAGUGAAUGCCUAGAAGACUAAAUCCUGUCUUUUAAACAGCUACAGAAAUAUAUAUUUUCCAAAGGUUCAAGAUGGCAAACUGCAGCUGUAUAAUGUAUGGAUUCUUUUGGUUCGUUUUGCUGGUGUUUAUUGGUUGGCCCAUAAGCAUUUUCCUGAGUGGCCUUUAUGGAUUCCUUUCCCCAAUCACUACUUUAGUAGGACUAGACGAUGUCAGUGAAGCGCUGCUGCGUGGAGUAAAUCUGGGACGGCAGUGUGCUAGGAAUGUACUAAGUGGUAAGCCCCUCUGUUGAGAAGCGAAGACAAUAUCACAGCUGGCCUGCCUUCUACUGUGUGUUUCAUAGCAUUUAUUGUUAACCUUAAAUGUUUUCACUUCUGUACAAAGUUGUUUGGUUUUAACGAUGAAUUAAUGACAGUUGGUAGUUUAUGACGGGAACAAUAAUAAGGAAGGUGUUUUGCUUUUUAGAGAAUGCAAUAGUAGCUUCCUGGUAAUCCCAAAAUGAGUAACAAUGCUAUCUUCACUUGUUUGAGUAAAUGCAUCGAAAGUACAGGGAAGCCCAAACAUGAACUUCACAUUCAUAUUCAAAUUCUUAAAAUCUGCGUUCCAUUUUUUAGGCAUACACAUUAUUGGCUCAGAGCUCAAGUGUUUCAAAUUUGGGAAGGUAAAGUACAAUCCAGAAUCCAAAGAUAUCUUCAUUUCAUUAUAAGAGAUGUGAAAUUCAGAUUUGAGGUUCUGGUAAGAUGCAUGUAAGUAUGUAUUUAUUUAUGUAUACACUUAAGAGCAUUCUUAAUUUAAUUCUUUAUAACAGAUAUUGACUUUCAUUUUACUUUACCACUUUGUCUAAUGAUAAGGUAGUUUUUAAGGAAACUUUAUGUGGAUUCACUGCGUUGAAAUAUGACUUCAGUAUCAUUCAUGAAUAAUCAAUUGUCAUAAACUUACAUGUGAAUUUUUUUUCUUUUCCAUUUAACUGGAAUUUUUUUUUAAAUUUUAGAAUACAUUAAACCCUAAGUUAAAACGUUAUCCAACCAGGUGCUUGGAAUCCUUAGACCUACUAAAAUUCAUGGAAAUUAUGGUGUUUUCAAAGUUUUUUUUAAUUUGGUCUUCUUACAACCUGUUUUUGCUAAUCCCUCUUCUGACGUUUUUAUUAGAGUGAGUGUUUUAAUGGAAAAUUAUCUAGGUUUUUACAAAUGUACUGUUCUUUUGGAAGUGACCAUCAAUUCAACAAUAGUGAAUAGCUAUUGUUGACAAGGUCAUUUUAUCUGCAUACUUUGUGUAUUUCCAGAAAUUACUUAGAAAUUAUUAAAACUGGAAAAAAGCUUGAAGGAAAUGAUCCAGAGGUAGGGUUCAGGGCAAAAUGGGCCAAUACUCUAAUGCAGUAUUGAAAAGAAAAGGACUCAUCCACUUACAACAGUAAAAAAGCCUUCCAAGCUUUGUGGGGGGUGGGGGAAAUAUCCCUGAAGCACAGCCUACUGGGAUUUACUGAUCUGGCUGUAGAAGUUUAAAUUGCAAGAGAGCACAUGUAAAUGAAGCCUUCAUCCUUCUUGUAUAAUUUUAUACCUUAUUUUGGAUUGGUCUUCUCUUUAAAACUUUAUCCUGUACAAUUUGUUUGCUUAAUAAAUGUUCAAACAUAGGCAAGUUAUGGUUGUUACGAGAGCUACAAGUGUGAAUUUUCUGGAUAUUUGAAUUUUCAUCCAUGAAGUUGUAUUGAAA